AUGACCUGCCGGAUCAUGUGAUCACCAGAGUUUUUGUACGGGGAGGAAGGAGAACGUCUCACUGUGUGACACCACUAGUCCAACAGGAACAGUAGUAGGUGGCAGAAUGGGACGCUUUCACCUUCUGAAGCGACAACUCCCAGCUGUUCUCUUUGAGGACUGAUGAGAAAUCAUCCUUCUGAGGAUGGUUGUAAUUUUUAUAAAGCGCACCAGUACUCUUGGAGAUGUCAAGAAUCACCCUGAAUGUUUCGCUCUCUUUCUUCUGGUACCAGUAGAUAUCAGUACCACCACACUGGUCAGUGUUUGUACAUCUGAAGGUGACAUUUUCCCCUUCUCUCCUGGUCCACGACACCUGGUCCUGAGUCAGCUCUGCUGCCAUGGCAACCACCGCUGUAGGGACAAGAGCACAUGGAUGAGCAUCCGUGUUCUGGGGUGGACGAAACCCGAUGUGUGGAGAAGCUGAGGAGAGGGGCUGCCACUGAGACCAGGGUGAACCAGGGUGG
ensembl:lncRNA